rnacentral:tRNA from 1 species
GCGCCUGUAGCUCAGCGGUAGAGCGGUCGGCUCAUAACCGAUUGGUCGGGUGUUCGAACCACCCCGGGCGCACCA